AAUCAGGGAAUCCGGCACUACUGUUCAUCUUCUUCACUGAGCCCGACCCCAACUCGCCUAGAGCUCACCCGAGUUCACUCAAAAUGGUCCCUCCCUCCACGUUAUUUGAUUCCUAAUGGUUUUUGUCAGAAGGAAUUCGAAUAUUCUCUCCUAAAUCAUAUGAAUUUCUGUACAAAAAGGACAAUUGUUAGAUGAAUGGGAACCGUAGAUAGAUGUGAAUCAAUCCACGCCCUCCAUUUGUCCCAAAAUUGUUCAAAAAUCCUGAAGAUUUUUUCAAAAUUGGGCAGAUUUUGAAAGUUUUUGAAGGCUAUAUAUAUGAGAAAGGAAGUUUGGUUUAAAUCCUCAAGUUGAAGAUUGGGGUGGAGUUUUGAAUUUUCUGCACUCUGUCGAUUUUGUCCGAAGUGGGGUUUCGAAAUUUUGAUUUGGCUUGCAAGUUCUACUCGAUACUGUUGUUGAAUCUCGCUGGAAUUUUGGAGUCAAGAAAACAGUGUAUUUGUUGAUUCUAUAAUUGCUAUAAAGGAAGAUUGCUAUUUGAGUUUCAUUUGUUUUCUUUUCUUAUGGUUUUCUGUUACUUGUUUUUUUUAACUGGAUGUUGGCCUGUUACUUUUAAUCCAUGUUUUGUUUGAGUUUUAUAAAGAACAUGAGAAUGAUUUUCGUACAUGGAAGCUGGGGAAUCUCGCUUUGCUCGCUGUUGUUUCUGUGUCGGAAUUGCUUCAAGCUAUUCUCUUUAGGUCCAGUGAUUGAAAUAUCUGUAGUGUAUUCUUAAAGGGUUUAAAUCUAAAUGUUUGAUUUUUGAUUGUCUGCUAUGAAA